CUGCAAAAAUAAUGGCAUACUAGCAAAUAUUUGCCUAUGCCAUUAUUCUUUUGUUAAAGCCAAGAUUUUGUUUCUAGACCUAGGUGUAUUAGAUUUCUUUACUGUACACUUAGCAUUCACAUCUCUCUAUUAACAAUUUUUGGCCAAAAAGCAAAUUAAGUUAUCUACACAUUCUUGCACUUGAAGUUUCCUUAUGAAAGAAAAAAUUAUACACCAAAAGCGAGCAGAAGGACUUUUAAGAAAAAGAUAUUUUAAGCCAGUUGGAAAACAAGUGUUCCUUAUGCCUUGAUAUUGAUACUUGAUAUUUUGAAUAGUAGCCGUCUUCUCUAUAUAUAUAAUCAAAAUCGUCAUCUUUUUUUCCCUCAAAGAAUAGGUAAUCUCUACAAAUAAAUUCAUUAGUAACAGAUUACAUCUCAGAAGACUUAGAUUAUUUUUUAUGCCUAUAAAUCAUUUUGCAACAUUCAGGCAACUUGAACACAUCCUAAAACUUCAACAGUCAAGGAAAACUUGUUGUAAUUCAUAUUCCUAUUUUGAAAAUGAUUUUAUGAUGACUGUUGAGCUUAUUAGGUCUACUGUUAUAAUGCUGCAGAGGUAGUUCUGAGGAGCAUGUUUGAACUAAGCAGUGUGAAAAAGAAAAAUCAGUUCAAGUCACAUGGAUUACGAAUUAUACUGAUGCAUAAAAGGGAUCAUAUUUAUAUAACCAUAAGGAAAAUAGCUGUGAAUUCACUAACUUUCCAACAUGUAUGACAUUAGAAAUAAAAAAAAAAAGUUUAACACUACUUGGCAAUGUCAUGUUGAGUCUGAGAAUCUGGACGAUACAAAAAGAAGCAUGUCGCAUGAGAUUUGAGCAUCAAUGUACAUCAACUCAACAUAUAUUUUUGUUGUUGUUAACUUACAGCUACCAGAAUAUUUUUCAGAACAAUGUGUUGGAAGGGAAUAUGAGAACUGGCAUAUUCCAGUAACUUACAGUUAACAGGAUAUUUUUCAGAAUGAUAUUUUGGAAGGGAAUAUGAGAACUGUCAUAUUCCAGGUAACCUGACUUUUUAAGAAUGAUUGGUUUCAUUAUUAAGGAACAUUUGUUUGUCUUUCAGCUCUGUUUGCAGUACCUAAAAAUUACAAACUUGUUGCUGCCCCGUUGUUCGAACUAUAUGAUAAUUCCCAAGGUUAUGGGCCCAUUAUAUCUUCCUUACCACAGGCAUUAUGCAGGUUUAACUUCACUUACAUGUAGAGCUUCAUUGUGAGUAUUUUUUCAUAAUGGAAAGACAGUUGAAGUAAAAAUCUUUUGAUGCACUGCAGAUAUUUUCAUAGACAAAGAUGCAAGUUUUCUCAAACGUACAAUGGUAUUUACAUGAACAUGUGAGAAGUAUGGAUAAUGAAAGUUGCAGUGAAUUUAUUAAGUCAAACCGAAUGUGGUGUGUAAAUGUUUUAAUGAUUAUCUUGUCAUCUUAUCCAGUGUUCAAACAUUUACCUGUGUGACUUUUCACCUUGAUGCUGAAAUUUAUAUAUUUUCAUGAUUAAUUCAAGCCUUAGAUUUUGACCUCAUUUCAAGGAACCAUUUUCAUUUCAUUGUUUUUCUGUGAACAUAGAGUUAUAAGAAUUUCAAUUCUUGUGCUGCUCGAUAUGUUUUUUUGUUGAAAGCUCGGGAUACACCUUGGUUACUUUGUAUACACUUAAUUCUACAUUUAAUUACAAUAAUCCUAUAAGCCUUCCACUGUAUUUACUGGAAAGCAUUUCAGAAUUUCUCACUAUUUUUCCUGUACUGGAAAGCAUUUCAGAAUUUCUCACUAUUUUUCCUGUAUUUGUACUAAAAUACAUACAAAGAACCAGUACUGUAGAUAGCAACAUGAAGUAAGUAACAAGUGUAUGAAUUUGUGUGAUAUUGUACAAGGCAGUGUGAAAAAUGCUAAUGUUCACUUCCCAAACUCAGUGGAUUGUGUGUUUUCAAAGAUUUUGAUAAAUACUUCAGGAGUUCCAGUUCAAAAAUGUAUUUUGUACAUUGUCUCCUAGUAAAUGUAGUUACAUUCAAUAACCUCUUACAUGGUCAGAUUGCUAUGUUGAAUUAUUUUGUGAGUAUUAUUUGUCAUUCCACUUCUUAGUAUAAUGACGUGAAAAUUAAGGUGUAUGAAAGAGAAUUAAAGUUUUUUAGGUGAAAA